rnacentral:rRNA from 1 species
UACGAAGGGGGCUAGCGUUGCUCGGGAUCACUGGGCGUAAAGGGUGCGUAGGCGGGGCUUUAAGUCAGGGGUGAAAUCCUGGAGCUCAACUCCAGAACUGCCUUUGAUACUGAAGAUCUUGAGUUCGGGAGAGGUGAGUGGAACUGCGAGUGUAGAGGUGAAAUUCGUAGAUAUUCGCAAGAACACCAGUGGCGAAGGCGGCUAUCUGGACGGUUUCUGACGCUAAGACGCGAAAGCGUGGGGAGCAAACAGG